rnacentral:rRNA from 1 species
AUGGAGGAGGAGUUCGAUGAAGAGGAGCCAGCACACCAAGAGGAGCCAACACAUCAUGAGGAGCAAGAGUAUGAUGCAACACAUCAAGAGGAUCAUGAGUAUGAUGUUGAUGCUCCACAACCAUCACAGGUUACACAACCGACACAAGUCAAUGCUUGCUCUAGGAAAGGCAAAGCCAUAGCUAAGACACCAGGCAAGAAAGGUAGAAAGAAGAAAUGGAACACACAAUUCCAUAGUCCGGAGUAUCCUCAUAAGCUUAUCCCAAUAGGAAUGCAAAGAUAUAAGGCCAACACUGAGGCGGAGGAGGAGGCAUACAACGAAGAGGAGGAGGAGGAGACUAGUGAAGAGGAGGAGCCUACACUUGCAACCAUUGCAAAGAGAGGAAGGAGGAAGUGA